GCAGGUUACACCACCCCCAACCUGGACCCCAUCCAAUAGGCUCGUGGUCCCUGAUGGUCCUGGACCACUGAUUUGAGGCCUUUCUGCUUCCUUUGAUUCAGUCUUUGGCAGAGACCCAGGAGCAGGAGUCCUUGAUGGCACCUGGCCCUUUCUAGUCACCGACAAGGGAAACCUGAGAAACCAUUCUCAGAAAUGGAACUAAAUUGACACAGCAUUUGUCUCCUCCAGAGGAUACAGCACCAAGGCGCCAUCUUGGAAGUAGACUGGAGCUCUUAGCAGACCAGAACCUGUGGGCAUAUUAUGAAUAUUCAGUGAAACAACGUGUGUGCUCACCAGGCAGGAAGAGCUCAGCAAAUGGUGGCUGGUCUGGAAAUUAUUGUCAUCACUAUAAUCCUCAUCGACAUCCUCAGCCUUAUUGUCAUCAUCAUCAACCUCAUCAGUGUCAUCAUCAGCCUCAUCAACGUCAUCAUCAGCCUCAUCACUGUCAUCAUCAGCCCUUUGUCAUCAUCAUCAUCCACCUUGCUGUUCUCUUCCUUGUUGACAUCAUUAUCCUCAUCCUCCUCAUCACCAUCAACAGCAUUAUUUUUAUUUUUUAUUCUUCCACCUGUAAGAGUUUCUUUUCCUCCCUCUUAUUGUUUUCCUCUUGGGAUGACUAGUGGUGAAGGAAGUGUCAGAGGCAAUGACCUCACAGCUGUCGUUGCCAUGGGUGACACCUCCCAGAAAGAGCUUAUUGGAACUUUCAGUCCAGGGGAGUUUCUGCUGUUCCAGGAUGGAGGAAAUGUUCAAGAACUGUGGAGCAUCUGAGAUUUUUUUCCUACUUUUGAUGUCCACCUAGUCAAAGUUCAGCCCUCCAGGAUCUACAGGUGACCAAGAGCCUGCUGUCUGGUUAUGGAAGGUCUCAGCUUUGGUUGUGUCAGUGAAUGAAGACCAGGACAGUCACAGUUGUAUGAGGAGGCUGGGGGCAUCCCUUACAGUCCCUUUGAGGGAGGUGCAGUCCUUGUAGCUGGAUGACCAUAGAGAACCAGCUUCUCUGCUGAACCAGGUUCCCAAAGACACAGCUGACAAGCCUCACCCUGAAAGGGGCUUCUUUGAGGGUUGAGAAGAACAAAGCGGGAGGAACUGUUUUGUCUUCGUGGCUGAAAAGAUUUGCAGCCCCAAAGGAGCAGCAAUGCACAGCUCAUCCGAGAAAGCAUAAACCGCUGAGAACAUUCUCCCCUUCCGAGGGUCCUUUGAAAAUGAACAAGCCCCAGUGUACCGGAAACACAGUGCAGACCCCUGGAUGCCACCUUGUAAACAGGGCCGGGGGCAUGUCCAGCUCUGCUCUACAACAAUCGCCCUGUGUUGUGGGGGAGUGUGGACAGACCCCAUGCUCCCGUUCACUGGAAGGCAAGCGAGAGUUAAGUUUCCUGGACUUCUUCUGAGCACCAUUAUCCGGGGGUAGCGGGCGUAGCCUCCAGAGCCUUGGCCUGUGCAGGUGUUUGCCCCGCACUUGACACUCCCCAACCGGGUGACGUCUCAGGUGUCCGAGGGGGAACUCCAUUCCUGCAGCCCCACCAGGCUCGCCGAAAGCCUGGGCACCAGCAUGCCUCGGGGAGGGCUGAGCCCCAGGCCCGGGAAGGGGUGCCUAGCUGACCCUGGCGUGUGUGUCCUCCUGGCUCACCUGGGGCACCCUGCCUCCCUGUUGGUGUUGUUCUGUCCAGCUCUGUGACCGCCCCACUCUCAACAAUGAGGCGGCCUGUGGUCCUCACUGGCCAAAUGGACUCUCCUCUGGGAGUUUGAAUCUGUAGCAGCCACCCAGAGAAGGAGGGUGGGUGGACUCCCAGGAGCUCCCAGCCCUCUGAAGCCCAGUUUCAUCAUGGACUAUCCAGUAUCCUCCCAACAUUUGCCUUAAGUUUCCACCAAGAAUCUUAAAUGGAACAGAAGAUUUGGGGCAAUGACAUCCACCAGGGUGUCUCUCAGAAACAUGCUGAUGGGACCAUGGAGGGCCUCAUGGAGGCGGGGUCUUUUCCUCUGGGCUCUGACAGAUAAAGGCAUUGAGAGGUGAAGUAGGGAGGGGGUAACGCUGCUGCCAGGUGGGAAGAUGGGGCCCCAGCAGUUGCUGGCUCCUCCGUGCAGUCCCCUGACCUCCUGCCAGAAGGGGGGCAAGGGGGGAGCCCUCCUGAGCCAGGGGCCAUGCUUGGUGUGUCUCCUUUGACUGAAGUCACAGGACUGUUCCACCCAGAACAGCAGGGUUGGGGGAGCCUGGGCACCAGCAUGUCUUGGGAGGGCUGAGCCCCAGGCCAGGGCAGGGGUGCCCCAUGUCACCAUCCCUCAGCCCAGCAUGGCAGACUGACCAUUUGCCUCAGUUUCUCUAAUGCCAUCUGCUCUUCACCUGAGUCAAGGGGAUAAACAAUUUAGAAAAACAAAGCCCCCGAAAAAUGCAAUCUCAGCAUUAGGCAUGGUGUUAUAAUAGAGACAGCAUACAAGAGACUGAAUUCUAGAAGCUGCAAUCAACAGGCCGACUCCCUCCCCAGGGGCAUCAGGGGCUGCCGGGGGUAUCUUGGGCCCACUUACGCACGGGCAUUUCAGGGGUCACAGGAGGUGAAAAAGCAGGCUUGGCUUCAGGUUUAAGGACCAAGAGAGACUCACCAUGCUGUUGCCCCAAAUGGUCACUUUCAAACCCACCAGUGUCCUCCAAAAAAGCUGCUUAUAUUUUUAAACACCAGGGUCAAAUGUUUUAACAAUAAAUUCUUGUCCCGCAGUGAAUAAUUUGCUUUAGUUUCUGUGGGAUUAGUAGUCAUGGAAAGCUAGAGCUUUCCUUGCCUGUACUAACUGUCACUUCUGAUGCACUAAGGACAGGAUUAGGUACAGCCAGAUGACAUUUAUAUACAAC
rnacentral:lncRNA from 1 species